AUUUCAUUAUGUGGAUGAUUGAAUGCGUUUCAGUUACAGAAACCCCUACAGGCGGAAAUCCCUUCUCUCUAAAAACGAAGAAAGCUUAAUCGUAAAACCCUAAUUCAAUCUUUCAUCUUUGUUGAACUCACCCAUGGUGAGGAGUCACAUUUGACUUUGGCUUAUUUUACACAACUUUGUUUGUGAGGAAUCACUGCUGGGAAACAGAAGGGUAUGUAUUUGGGAUAUCAACUUCUUUCUCUGCUAAAUCUAAACCCUUGUUACUUUUCUCCGGUUCAUCCAGAUUACCAAUCGCAAAACAGCAAUUCUGCAGAUAUGUUUGUAUAGGCCUUAUUGAAUCUUUUAUAAAUGGAAGAAAGCGGGAGAUCUCGGGUUCGGUCGACGGUUUCAUGG